rnacentral:rRNA from 1 species
AGAUUCUUGGUCAUUUAGAGGAAGUAAAAGUCGUAACAAGGUUUCCGUAGGUGAACCUGCGGAAGGAUCAUUACACAAAAGGAUACCCUCACCGGUAUACCCCACCCGUGUCUAUUUACUCUUGUUGCUUUGGCAGGCCGUGGUCUCCCACUGCGGGCUCUGCCUGCAAGUGCCUGCCAGAGGACCAAACUCUGAAUUUUAGUGAUGUCUGAGUACUAUAUAAUAGUUAAAACUUUCAACAACGGAUCUCUUGGUUCUGGCAUCGAUGAAGAACGCAGCGAAAUGCGAUAAGUAAUGUGAAUUGCAGAAUUCAGUGAAUCAUCGAAUCUUUGAACGCACAUUGCGCCCUGUGGUAUUCCGCAGGGCAUGCCUGUUCGAGCGUCAUUAUAGCCACUCAAGCCUUGCUUGGUGUUGGGGCUCGCAAUCUUGCGGCCUCUAAAAUUAGUGGCGGUGCCGGUAGGCUCUGAGCGUAGUACAUCUUCUCGCUAUAGAGUCCUGUCGGUCCCCUGCCAAAACCCCCAUAUUUUAUAGGUUGACCUCGGAUCAGGUAGGGAUACCCGCUGAACAUAAGCAUAUCAAUAAGCGGAGGAAA